rnacentral:lncRNA from 10 species
AGUCAAUAGUUUUAUGUAAUUCAUAUGGAACAAUGGGUUUAUGCAUAUAUUUGGAGCUCUCUUCCCUAGGAUUUUAUUUCCAAUUAAGUAAUUAGAAGAAUGACAAUGAAGAGUGGGUAUGCUCACCUUGUUCCACUUUAGCAAGGCUCUUUGGAGUCCUGGCAAAAAUACACAUGUAGGAAACUGUAGUGUUAUUUUGGAAGAGUGGGCUGGAGAGAGGUUGAUAAAUGACACCCCAGGUGGCUUUUAUGACCUAAGUGAGAGGGUGGAGAAAGGGUAAGAAAGGGAAUUUUAAUUCUUAGGGAGUAUUAGAAUGGGAACACUCUUUCUCUUCCCAGGGUUCAAAAAUGGAGCCCAAAAUAUUUCAACUUCUGUGAUAAGAGGCAGGUAACAUCUCCAAGAAUAAUUCACGUAAAGAUUAUUAUCCCAUGAGAAUGAAAACACACUGAUUUUCUUUUUCUAUAUCUUUCUAGGUCCUGGCUUACCCACCUCUAACUCUAUUGCCAAAGCACUAUGCCAGCAAAGGCUUGAUUGUCAAAAGAGUAUGGCAAUUCAUGGUGAAAGGGGGGGAAAAAACCCACACACUGGAAGAUAAGAGGAUGCCAAUGGAGCAGACAGUGGCAGCUCCUUCCUAAGCUUAUUAAUUUCCCACAGGGAGGUCUCUGGAAGGGGCUGUGAGGGUUGAGGGAGGAAGAGAAUAGAUCUUCAAGGAGGAGUAUUGUAUUACCUAGCCUCACCAUUCAGAAUAAGGAACUUUUUAAGGGAUAAACUUUACUGACUACUUGUACAUGAAAGAGAAACAGAAAUGAUGGGCUGGUCAAUUAAGAAAAACACCAGGCCUGUGCCAAAAAUGUUGUUCAGAGGGUUGUUAACUCAUUUUCUACCACUUUGCCUUUAUCAAGAGAAAGAUACAUGGUGGGUUUUUAAAAAGACCCAGAGGGGUUUGUUUGUUUGUUUUACAUUUUGGUGAGUCGAGAAGAGCCAUGCUUGCUGAGUUGGGUAAAGGAUGAUGUGAGGGGGUGGGGUGUGGGAAGGGCUACUCGUUUUUUAUAAGUAUACAUUGCAAACUCAGUUUAGGUCUGUUCCUCACCCUAAGUAUUGUAGUUGGCUCACUGGGUAUUACAUGAGCAAAUGUUUUCCAGGCUGGCCCUGGGAAAGCCAGAGACUCAGGGUUGGGUAAUUUUGUAGCCUGUGAGGAAGGACUUCAGGCUCCCAACUGUAGGGAUCAUUACUUCUGACUCAUACUUUUCUCUCUUGGGCUUUUCCUCGUAAAUGAUCCUGCUUUUAAUCCUGCUGCUCCUGCAGCUACUACUACCACCAUUAUCAUUACAAUGAUAAUCUACCUUUCUCAAGUUUAAAACUUUCUCUCUUAGCCAUUCCCAAGUUUUACUUACACUUGUGUUGGAGUUCAGCUGAGAAUGGGAUAGUCUUUGAAAGCUGUAUGUUAUUAUCUUCCUCUCCUGGAUCUGGGUUGUAGUGAACUGGCUUAAUGGCCUCUGAGUAUGACUUUUAGAAGGGCUAGCAAACCGAAGUGACAUUGUGCACAACUACCAACAGAUAUGAAAUCAGUGCCCCAUACUCAUCUGUGUGAGUGUGACCUCUGAACCAAAUCCAAUAUCCACUAUUUCAACCCCCUGGGUUCUCCCAAAUGUUAUACUCUUCCCCAGAUGAGUGUGUAAAGAUCUGGCAAGAAAAGGCUUGGAUUUUUGUCAAAUCUGUAGGUUCCAAAGUCCUUCCUAGACUCAGACACCACACCCUUUGAACGCAUCUCAGUGUGAAGGGGGUUGACUGGUUGUAGCCAGUUCUCCAUCAGUCACUCUGAACCUCCUUACCCUCUGGGUCAGGAUUUUUAGGCAGACUGCAGAUCAGGGGAUGUCUAGCAGUCUCAAAUUGGUGUCCAGCAGUCUCAAAUGAAAUUUUGAGAAGUCUAACUCUAGGCCUUGGGAAUGUGACAACAUUGAGAGGCUUUACAUCAAAUUUCUUCACACAGCCAGGAGAAUGGACAUCAUCCCAAUUCAGUACCUGUGUGCCACCCUUUUCUUCUCUGUUUUAGGUGGAUUGUAAUUCCUGAGUUAAAUAAAGAGGCAACGAUAGACACACAGCAUAUAUAUCCUGGGCAGACUACACUCCUUGACAUCUAAUCCCAGUUAGCUUUCUGAGGUAUGGACUGUAAGAAUUCGGGCUGCUGGGGAAAAAGCAGCAGAAAGCAUGGCUCUUCUGGGAAAGAGGUCUAGGCAGGGGACACAAAUGUCCAGUACUUGGAAUAAACCCAUGGUACACUUUCCUGAGGCCUGAAGAGAGAGACAUUUCAUUUUCUCCAGGAAAAGAGAAGCGAGAGAAAGAAAGUAAAAAGAAAGGAAGAAAGAGAGAGACAAAGAGUAUUUGAGAAGCGGAUACCAGUUAGGAACCACAAUAGUGGUGAUUUACCUUGUAUUAAAGAGUAUUGGAAAUAUGGUUCAAUUUCUUCACAAAUUAUGCUCCCAAACUGCUCCCUUGCUCAUAUUGCCAACUGAACUCUGAGUGAAAACUAUCUUUCAUGAUUUCAGUUCAAUUAAUCCCAGGUGUUCUAUGAUUUAAUCCAGGGGUAUUAAUUUAGCAUCAAUGGGGGAUGUCUCCCAAAACAUUAUAUGAAGAGGUGUUAGUUUUCAGAAGAUUUUCAAAAACACUUGAAAGCUACCAAUGUAAGUCUUUCCUCACUGCUAAUACUUGGAAAGGUGGUCUCCUUAAAAAAAUUCAAAGAUCAACAUGUCACAAAUGCAGCAACAUCAUUAUUACUAUAAACACUUCUGGACUUACAUUAUGAAGUGGAGGCAAGAAUAGGCAAGGAUUGUAACAUAUUUGUUCUCUUGAACUUGCUGAGCGAAAAGAUGCUUCCCAGGCUGAUUUGAUAGUAUCUGUAAUAUAGUAACCGUGGUAUUAUUCAUAAUCUCCUUUUAAGGAAGUUUAAAGGAAAACUCAUAUUUUUCAAAGAAAUAAUACCCGGAAUUGCUAAAUAAAACACUCAUACAUUCCUAAGAAUAAACAUGUUGAAUAUAAUGACCUAGAUGUUGAGAUUUGCUAGGCCUAGAAUUUAACUUAGGCCUGAAUAACUUUAUACCUGAGCAGAAAUUGUCCUCUAUGCAUAUAUGGGUAUGGGUGUGUGUUUAAGAAGGUUGGGGUGAAUGUUGUCAAAGGCAGCAAUUAAAAAUAAGUUUUAGGACUGUCAUUUUACUUGGAUGCUUGUCCAUUAAGUAGCCAGUGCUCUUUUUUGGAUGUUUUCAUGUAGGGUGGUUUUGAGAAAAUAGUUUGUGUGAAGUCAUACAGGACAGCAAUUGGUCCCAAGGGAGCAAAUUGAAUAGCUAUAAAGAAUAUAUUUCCUGAGUAUAAUGUUACUAUCUAAUAUCUUGUGUGUGUGAUCAACUAUCCCACAGCAUUAUCUAUAUUCUAGAGUCAGUUUACUGAAGUCCUAAGACAUCUAUGUUCCAGAUAAGUGGGGUUCCCCUAAACUUGUGAAAAUAUCCUCGAGAAAGCCAAUGCCAAUGCACCGAAUGCAACGAGUUUCAUUUCUAACCUGGGGGACUGAAUUAGCUGCUCCUCCUCAAGGCCCCACACAGCUGAGUUUGAGUCCUAAGUUUGGGAAGCAAGACAAGGCACAGAAGUGCCUGCUAGACUCGGACACUUCCUGAUGUCUAGAUUGUCCGGUGCCCAUGUCUUAGUGAAAGGUACAGCGACAGAACUAAGAGUGCAGAGAAGGCCAAAUCACGGACUUCAAUGUUGGCAAACCGGGUUUCCCUGGGAGAGAUCCAAGGAGAGUAACGCCCCCACAGUAUCAGGAGGCGCAGACACAGAUCACAUCGUUUGAGCUGAUUCACCAAAGAGUGCAGAGCCCUGACACAGGAGGCUACCAGGGCAGAACAAAACAAGCCAUCGUCUGCCCGGCGUCGCCCUUGUAGACGCACAGUGCGCAAACCGUGAAUGUGGGGCAGUGUGGGGCCAAGCGGUGCGCUUGGUACGCUCCAAAUGAGCCCUGGGCGAAGCAGGGAGGAAAUGCAGUUCCCAAGGGCCCGCCACAUUUCCCAUGUUCUUUAGCCUUCCACCGGCAAUUAGUGCCAUCACUUGCUUCCCGCUAGGUGACCACUUAACCUGCGGAAAGGCGUUCCAAGGGCGGGGCCUGCGGGAACCUAACACUCUUUCCACCACCCUCUCUCCCUGCCUCUGUGCACGACCUCGACCAGCUGGUCGCCUGAUCUCGUUUAGCAGGGCAGGAGCCUGUGUUCCCAUUUCUUACUAGCUGGGCUGCCGAUGACCUAGCUCAGCCUUGGUUUUCCUCCGGUUGAACAAAAGCUGGCAAGAGCUGCCUCCCGGAUCGCAGUGAGGACUCUAAGGGAACGAGGGCGAACGCGCUUUGGAAAGCCAGUUGCUGAGCAGAUGUCUGGAGAACUGACCCAAGAAGAAGGACCAACAAUUCAGGCUCAGGAAAGCCCACAAUUCCACAGGGGAACCAGGACUGCAUGGCUUCGAAUCCCAGCCCUCCCCACUCAGGAAACAUUGCUCCCCAAACGGCACGGAUUUCUGGACGCCUCCACCUUAAGACAGCUACUUCAGCCAGAACGUGGGACAGGCACUAACGGGAUAUCACCCUUGGGGAUAAACACGCUCCAGUUUCCUGUGGACGGUGGAAGAGGAAAGAACAGGAGAAGCUGCCAAAGGGAUGGGGUGUAGGAAGCUCAUCCUUGCACGUUUAGACUAGGGAAGAAGAGAAUAUUAGGGAUGGGGGAGGGGGGAGGAUGGGAAGUGUAGUUUUUCCCCUUCCUUCCUUUCAUUUCAGAUCCCAUUUAGUGCUUUUAUUUCUUUAAUUUUGAAAACUAUUUCCCUUUCCUGAAUCUGGAUGCGGGCAGGGAGCGAACUCAAGGAAAUGAUGAGCAUGGAUGAGAGCCAGGGGACAGGAGAUAUGUCCUGGGAACUCAAACUCUGCUGCUUCGCCACUGUCUCCGAGAUGCCCUGAGCCUUAGCCCAAUGUAAAGGGAGCUGAUUGGGUGUAUGGGCAGUGGCGGGUGGUCUGAGUAAGAAAUAAAAUGAGGGCAAGCCAGAUCUACUCCCAUCCCAAAGCAUUAAAAGACACACCUCCCCACCCCUCAGCUGUCUUGUGUCCGGCAGAAUGGCAUUAUGUAAAAGAUCUGGCAUGUCACCCAGUGGCACAUCUGGUAGGUGUAGAUGGCAUUCAUUAGCACGGGGCUUCUACUCUGCAGCAUGCCAAAGCUCUGACAGAGAUGCCCGCUGCCAAUCAUUCAUUGGCUGCCAAUCCCCAAGCGCGGCCGGGCGGGAUGGCUUCCUUCCACCCUGGCAUCAGGAGUGGAGGAAACAAUGUGUUGAGAUAGAAGAGAUGAAAGUGGAGCUGAGGAUGCGAGGCACCCAACAGAUGUAUCCCAUGAGGAGAUAACGGUGCUAAAAGUCAUUUAGCAAGAAAGCAUAUGCAGGAUCUCAGGAGGGAGGCUUGGGCAGGGGGUCUGCUUGCCUAGGGCUGAGCUGAAGGAAAAGCAGGGGAGCCCUUUCAGAAACCUGAAAGUUGAGGUUGCUUCUCUAAAAACACACAAAGACCAAAACCUCAACCCCCUAAGUGUAGGAUUUCCCCCUCUCUUUGGUUUGUCACUUGUAUCUCUUUUUAUCUAGCAACCUAACUACCUCUGUAAAGGUCAACCUUUGUCAUGUUUUUUUCUGAGGACCGAGAUGAAGAGCACCUUCCUGUUUUAAAUUUUGCAUAAUUCUCAUAGACUAGUAAUUUGGGGGCUAAGGGGAGGAAGACUGUCAGGCUAUCUUCAGUGCAUCGUAAAAGGCAAAGGUCUUAUUUCCAUUAUUAGCUUUUCAGAGGGGAUAAAGAUGAACAAAGGAAAGCAAGGAAAUUAUUAAAAUGGCAAAGGAAGAUUAAACACAAAAUCCAGGAUAGAGGUUGCCUUUGAGGUUGUUCUUUUUCUUAGGCUGGGUGGCAAUUAACAAAGUGUUCAGCGUAGUUUUUCUUUAUGCCAUAUACAUAUUUUACAUUCUUUUUAUCCAUUCACAACUUAAUAAAGCAACAACAAAACUCAGGGCUUUGAAAGUUUGUGGAACUUGGUGUUUAAGUUGACUCUAACUUAAGCUCUUUAGUUUAUAUAUAUAAUAUAUAUUUGUGUGUAUUAUCUAUACAAUUAUACUCUUUUUAGUAUAUGUUAUAAAAUAUUUGGGACAUAUACUAUAAAUUUAUUCAUAUUUUAUCUAAAACUGAAACUUUAGUUGGCCAUUACAUAUAUUUAUUUGCUAAAUCUAGCAACCUUGGGUAUGUUGGCUCAUGGUCACAAUAUAGCUGCUGUAAUUCCAAGCAUCAAACCAUCGUUUUAAACAUGAAGAAAGGAACAGGGGCAAAAAGCUGUGGUUGUUUGCUUAAUCAAUGAAAAGAAUACUUUCACUUUCAUUAGGCAGACCUGGAUCUCCUGGCCACAUAUACAUGCAAAAGAGUUUGGGAAAAUUAGCCUUUAAAGUAUAAAAAGAUAGCGAUAAAGGACUGGGGAUGGUUGUUGGGUUGCAAUCAAAGGUGUCUGACAAAGAAACCGAAGAUCAAAGAAGAGUUAAUGUUAACAUCAAACAAGAGUAUAGCUUAUCAAGUUUUUUCAUUGUUUUAAAUAAAAGUUUUCUGUUUUCAUUAUUGUGAUUAAAGGGAUACUGUUCU